rnacentral:rRNA from 1 species
AUAAUGGGUCAGCGACUUAUAUUCUGUAGCAAGGUUAACCGAAUAGGGGAGCCGAAGGGAAACCGAGUCUUAACUGGGCGUUAAGUUGCAGGGUAUAGACCCGAAACCCGGUGAUCUAGCCAUGGGCAGGUUGAAGGUUGGGUAACACUAACUGGAGGACCGAACCGACUAAUGUUGAAAAAUUAGCGGAUGACUUGUGGCUGGGGGUGAAAGGCCAAUCAAACCGGGAGAUAGCUGGUUCUCCCCGAAAGCUAUUUAGGUAGCGCCUCGUGAAUUCAUCUCCGGGGGUAGAGCACUGUUUCGGCAAGGGGGUCAUCCCGACUUACCAACCCGAUGCAAACUGCGAAUACCGGAGAAUGUUAUCACGGGAGACACACGGCGGGUGCUAACGUCCGUCGUGAAGAGGGAAACAACCCAGACCGCCAGCUAAGGUCCCAAAGUCAUGGUUAAGUGGGAAACGAUGUGGGAAGGCCCAGACAGCCAGGAUGUUGGCUUAGAAGCAGCCAUCAUUUAAAGAAAGCGUAAUAGCUCACUGGUCGAGUCGGCCUGCGCGGAAGAUGUAACGGGGCUAAACCAUGCACCGAAGCUGCGGCAGCGACGCUGAUGCGUUGUUGGGUAGGGGAGCGUUCUGUAAGCCUGCGAAGGUGUGCUGUGAGGCAUGCUGGAGGUAUCAGAAGUGCGAAUGCUGACAUAAGUAACGAUAAAGCGGGUGAAAAGCCCGCUCGCCGGAAGACCAAGGGUUCCUGUCCAACGUUAAUCGGGGCAGGGUGAGUCGACCCCUAAGGCGAGGCCGAAAGGCGUAGUCGAUGGGAAACAGGUUAAUAUUCCUGUACUUGGUGUUACUGCGAAGGGGGGACGGAGAAGGCUAUGUUGGCCGGGCGACGGUUGUCCCGGUUUAAGCGUGUAGGCUGGUUUUCCAGGCAAAUCCGGAAAAUCAAGGCUGAGGCGUGAUGACGAGGCACUACGGUGCUGAAGCAACAAAUGCCCUGCUUCCAGGAAAAGCCUCUAAGCAUCAGGUAACAUCAAAUCGUACCCCAAACCGACACAGGUGGUCAGGUAGAGAAUACCAAGGCGCUUGAGAGAACUCGGGUGAAGGAACUAGGCAAAAUGGUGCCGUAACUUCGGGAGAAGGCACGCUGAUAUGUAGGUGAAGUCCCUCGCGGAUGGAGCUGAAAUCAGUCGAAGAUACCAGCUGGCUGCAACUGUUUAUUAAAAACACAGCACUGUGCAAACACGAAAGUGGACGUAUACGGUGUGACGCCUGCCCGGUGCCGGAAGGUUAAUUGAUGGGGUUAGCGCAAGCGAAGCUCUUGAUCGAAGCCCC